rnacentral:rRNA from 1 species
AUUGAACGCUGGCGGCAGGCCUAACACAUGCAAGUCGAGCGGAUGAGAGGAGCUUGCUCCUCGACUCAGCGGCGGACGGGUGAGUAAUGCCUAGGAAUCUGCCCAGUAGUGGGGGACAACGUUUCGAAAGGAACGCUAAUACCGCAUACGUCCUACGGGAGAAAGUGGGGGAUCUUCGGACCUCACGCUAUUGGAUGAGCCUAGGUCGGAUUAGCUAGUUGGUAGGGUAAAGGCCUACCAAGGCGACGAUCCGUAACUGGUAUGAGAGGAUGAUCAGUCACCCUGGAACUGAGACACGGUCCAGACUCCUACGGGAGGCGGCAGUGGGGAAUAUUGGACAAUGGGCGCAAGCCUGAUCCAGCCAUGCCGCGUGUGUGAAGAAGGCCCUCGGGUCGUAAAGCACUUUAAGUUGGGAGGAAGGGCUUACAGCGAAUACCUGUGAGUUUUGACGUUACCGACAGAAUAAGCACCGGCUAACUUCGUGCCAGCAGCCGCCGUAA